GACGAACGCUGGCGGCGUGCUUAACACAUGCAAGUCGAGCGGUAAGGCCCUUUCGGGGGUACACGAGCGGCGAAUGGGUGAGUAACACGUGGGUGACCUGCCUUUAGCUCUGGGAUAAGCCUGGGAAACUGGGUCUAAUACCGGAUAUGACCCUAUGGCGCAUGUUGUGGGGUGGAAAGCCUUGUGCGGCUAGGGGAUGGGCCCGCGGCCUAUCAGCUUGUUGGUGGGGUGAUGGCCUACCAAGGCGACGACGGGUAGCCGGCCUGAGAGGGCGACCGGCCACACUGGGACUGAGACACGGCCCAGACUCCUACGGGAGGCAGCAGUGGGGAAUCUUGCGCAAUAGGCGAAAGCCUGACGCAGCGACGCCGCGUGAGGGAUGACGGCCUGGUGUAA
rnacentral:rRNA from 1 species